rnacentral:lncRNA from 1 species
CUUGUUUGUUGUCUUCCUGCUCUCACCUAACUCCAUACCAAAACAACGACCUCUAUAACUCUUUGCCUUCUCCUUACAUAGACCAUCACUACUACAUUUCUCUUCGGACUUCUUUCACUGUUGCCAUAGGAAGGAGUUCCCUUACUUUCAGAUCCUCCAACCUUGCCGUCCAAAGCCACUAAACAGAACUCAAACGGUUCAAUCAAAGAUAGUCAUUUAUUCCCUUUGCUGGUUUCCAUGGUGAUUUCUUAUCUCACCAUCAAUGUGUAUGAUGUGUUGAGCUUUAUGAACAGUUCUAGUGAAGAAAUCCUGAUCCAUGAUCGUUGAAUAGCAUAUACCAGCAUCUAUCUUGGCUAGACCAUCUACC